GUUGACGAGUAUUUUUCCGGUGAGACCUGGUCCGUGGAGUCUCCCUGCGAGAGCGUUUAGAAGCGUGGACUUACCGCUUCCUGAUGGUCCAAGAACGGCCAUAAACUCGCCGGGUGACACCAUUCCGGUGACUCCACUAAGAAUCGCCGGUUUUGCCAUGGAUCUUCACUCGGUAACAGACAUCAACGAACUAAACAAAGUACAAGUCAUGUCCGGAGUCAAAGCGAGUCAACAAUGAAUCAGUGUUUCUUAUAUAUAUAUAUAUAUAUAUAUUAGGAUAUGUGUGUUUACAUAUAUAUUAUAUAUACCUUAAGUGUGAUUGGGAAACAAGGAGAUGAUGAUGAUAAUGAGCGAGGCUCACGAGGAUCUUUAGGGAGACGAGCUGAUAACUGACAGUUCAUUUGAUUUUCAACGCCGGUAGAACCUGACAUUAUUGUAACUUUCUUUUCUUAACUAAAAAUUCAGAGACCAAACUCAAACGGAGUUAGAAGUACAGAUCGAAAUAGAGAGAGUUUGGUUGAGAAUAUAUGAGGAAUGAAGAUCGGGUGGUGAGUUGCUGAGAGCUCUAUUUAAGGAGAAGUGGGACGAGCAGGCUAAUGGGGUGCUCAUGUCAGCAAAGUGAUGUUCAUUCAGAAAAUAACAUGUGGCAAAACGUAUAAUGCCAGGUGGCGGCUGCUGAAAGGAAUCGGGUCGUCUUUUUCCUCUCCCUUUAGUGUAUCUGUAUAAUUUGCCACUUUAAUUCUCUCUCUCUCUUUCGGAUUUUUAUUGUGUUUCUUUCUUUUCAUUUCGAAUAUACUUUUCCUCUCUUUACAGAAAAGAUAUUUCAAUUAAGUGUUUCCCACUCUAA